GACGAACGCUGGCGGCGUGCUUAACACAUGCAAGUCGAACGGAAAGGCCCUGCUUGCAGGGUACUCGAGUGGCGAACGGGUGAGUAACACGUGGGUGAUCUGCCCUGCACUUCGGGAUAAGCUUGGGAAACUGGGUCUAAUACCGGAUAGGAACCAUCUUUAGUGUGGUGGUUGGAAAGUUUUUUCGGUGUAGGAUGAGCUCGCGGCCUAUCAGCUUGUUGGUGGGGUAAUGGCCUACCAAGGCGGCGACGGGUAGCCGGCCUGAGAGGGUGUACGGCCACAUUGGGACUGAGAUACGGCCCAGACUCCUACGGGAGGCAGCAGUGGGGAAUAUUGCACAAUGGGCGCAAGCCUGAUGCAGCGACGCCGCGUGGGGGAUGAAGGCCUUCGGGUUGUAAACUCCUUUCGCUAGGGACGAAGCUUUUUGUGACGGUACCUAGAUAAGAAGCACCGGCUAACUACGU
rnacentral:rRNA from 1 species